UACGAAGGGUGCAGGCGUUGCUCGGAAUUAUUGGGCGUAAAGGGUAGGUAGGUGGUUACGUAUGUCUGGGGUGAAAUCCCUGAGCUCAACUCAGGAAGUGCCUUGAAACGGCGUAACUAGAAUACUGGAGAGGUCUGUAGAAUUCCUGGUGUAGCGGUGAAAUGCGUAGAGAUCAGGAGGAAUACCAGAGGCGAAGGCGGCAGACUGGACAGUUAUUGACACUAAACUACGAAAGCGUGGGGAGCAAACAGA
rnacentral:rRNA from 1 species